GAGAUUUGCACUGUUCAAUUAUUUCUUCGAAAGAACUUUUUUUUUGUAAAUUAUCAUUACAUAACCUCAAUAUUACCUUCAAAGUAUUUCAUGUCUACAAUUAUUUAAUUUUAGGUAGUUUAAAAAGUUAAGAACUUUGCAUAACCAUGGUUAUGCAUAACUAUUGCACCGCCAAUUUGGUUUCGUUACUAUCCCGCCAUUGAAAAUGCGUAGUGUUGUUGUUAUUUUUACCCUACCACCAGGUGCCGAAAAUUGUAAACAUUAGAAAUCAGCUGUUCGGUUGACAAGUCGGGAAAUGCUUUAUAUACAGAUGUAAACUAAAAUUCGAUUAUUCAGCUCUGUAUAAAAGUUUGUUGUUGUUGGAAAGCUUUGGAAAGGGAUGUUAAGCAUUGAAAUUUUUAAAAGUUGUUAUGGUUAUUUUUGUUUUCCAAAUAGUUUUUAAGAUGAAUCAUCAAUUUCAACUUACAAAUAAAAAUAAAAAUCACAAUUACAAUUACAAAAGAAACUUUUUUUCUACAGCCGCCGGAUAAAAUCGUCCUUCGUGGGUGAUGCUAGAUGAAGCAAUCGCAAUUUUCACACAAUUCCGAUAAGUUACGAUAAGCUUCGAAUAAUGGUAAGAUUCAGUUAACCAGCAAGAGCGGGUAGUCCGGGGAGCAGGAAGGAUCGGGAAGAUGAACUACACCUUGAUGGAACGGAAUUCAAUUGAAAUAAAACGAAGGGAUAUGGCAAAAUAUUUGUUCUAAAAGAAGAAGAUUCCCAGAAUUUUAGAGGGCAGCCGGAAUUGUUUGAUAAAUUCUUCGCCCGUAAAUCGGAAGGAUCCAUCGUUUAGUGCUCGGGAUAUGUUGAGGGCUUCGCAGGAGAGAAAUUUCCCUUGGUUGGAGCUAGCCGAUGUUCACAAUGACACAACCGGGGGAUUACGAGCUACGAAUAUACUGUUUUAUAUGAACUGCCCCAAACCACCAGCUGCUUUCUGGCUCUGCUGCAUCCGCCCAAAGAACCUGGGCAAGCUCCGGAGGCCAAGUUACAAAAGAUACGUUUUCAUGACGUUAAGGAUGCAACGAAAAGCAGCCGUUAAAGUACAUUAUAGCGUGGGUGGAAAUCUCGGGCAAAAGGAACACAGAACUGAAAGCAGGACCAAUGACUGGAUGACGAGAUAGUUAUAAUUUUGUUGUUUCCAAAGAGCAGCCAAAAUUUUACAAUAAUCAUCUCUCCUCCAGCGAGAAUACAAAACUAACAAAUAAUGGACGAUGGUAACGAGCUCGCUAAGCACCAUUCAGCACCUGAUGUAUACCAAUUUUGAAUUGAAGAUGCAGCUCAAGGCGCUGCGCUGCUACAGUAAUUUUUUUUGGCAGCCGGUGAAAAAUCUAGAUUACGUUACCGGGUUGACCAGUUUGAGUAUUUAUUUGUAUAAUAACAGCACAGACAAACAGACAUGACACUCUGAAGAAAAACUAUAACAUUUUUCGCAAAACUGCUUGCAUUGCCAUCUGGUGUCGACAUUGCCUAUCACGACAAAAUGCAGCCAUGAACCGGUUAGGAAAAUUUAAAACCAUCAUGAUACCCAUGAAAUCAAACUUUUCAUUUAACAUUGUAAACAAACAGACUGGUAUGAAUUAUUGUUGAAAUCAUAAGUUCAAUUUCGGGAGUGCUUUUACAUGCAUGAAUUAAUUAUGGUGCUCGAGGAAAAGUGUUCGCUGAAGUGCUGGAAGCCGUUCAUAAGUUAUUGACAAAAAUACGAUUCUUUGGAUAACAUCAAAUUCAUACCUGAAUUGAUUAAAUGAUACUCCGGUUUGAAAUUUACUGAGUGGUAGCAAAUUGAAAAAAAAUCCCCCACGCAGGGUUUUCCCUGAAAGCAAUUAGGAUAUCGGGGUUUUUCUACAAAAAGAAUUUUCGAUAACUACAUCGAACGUAACGACAAAAAUGUAACGUAGAACAUGACUAUUGAGUACUGAAUCGCCUCCAAAUGAUCUGUUUUUAAGUUUAAAGGGAAUUUUUUUCAUAAUUCUGCAUUUGUGUUUUCAACAUUCAGUUUUUUUGCAGUAGCUAAAUCAACAGGAACAGCCACUUAAAAGUCGAGUUUAGUCAUGUGCGUUAAAGUAAAUAAACACAGCCGUACAGAAAAGGUAUUCCAUUUUAAUUUAUUUCAACAAAUUUAUUAUUUUUUUCUCAUUUGCAAUAGAAACAUUGCUUUACAUUUGCUUAAAAAAAACUCUCAGUUGCGGCCAAAUAACAUGGGUAUGAAAACAAGGGAUCUGUUCCUCAUUAUAAUCCUUUUUUCUCGGGUUCAAAUAUUCGAUACUGCUAUUCAACUCUUCAGAUUUCGGAACAAAAUGAAUGGAACCAAAGGAACACUGCAACAGCAAUUCUUCCCGGCACCACCUCUUGCUAAUUGAAAUAUGAUCCGUUUGAAUGGGACACGGUCGCAGGGAGAUGAGUAUCUACGGGGUUUUAACAAAAUUUGAAACUAAAACAACUUUGCAGACUUUUUUAUUUAGGUACAACCUUGUUUGUUUACUUUCAAGUUUGAUGCGUGUCUCCAGCAAACAGCUACUAUGAUGGAAAAGUUUUAAUUUUAAGACCAGUGCACUCUGGUGGCGACAUUGCCUAGCUUUCAGAAAUAUUGAACCGGUUUGCGAAAACCGGAAAAAGAGUGUCCCGUCUGUUUAUCUGUGAUAACAGGGUUGCUAGCGAACCGGGAAAACCGGGAAAAACUUUGGAAUUUCAUCAGGUCACCGGGAAAAAACCGGGAAUUUCGGCACCUCACCGGGAAAAUUGACUUGUUUGAUAUUUACUCAUCAUAAACACUUAUUUUCUUUCAUUAGUAAAACGAAGUUUGAAUCGCUUUUUUAACUAAUUGCGGAGAAAUAUGAGUUAUCUUAUUUUUUCGCUCUCCGCAAGCAUAUAAUUUGGCAGCGCGAGACGUUUUUAAGCAGAGUUUCACCUCUUUUUCACCAGAAAAAGAUAUUGGUUUUCUAUUGUUGUUGUUGUUUUGUAUUUCGUUAGAAUUGGCCUGAGGAACGAAGCAUAACAUUGCAAAUGUUAAGUUUUUAAUCUAUUCUGCGUUAAGCUGUUGCUUGAAGUUUCCAAAAUCUAAGGUCUUAACCCUGAUAAAAUAUAAUAUCUUACACUUAAACAAUAAAAGCUCAGCCCUGUCUUCUACACGAUCUCUAAAAUUUUCAUGAAUCUUUAGUUCAAAUGACUAUUACUAAAGUUAUUCAUUGUUUUGUAUUAAAAAAAACAAUAUUUUCAAAAAAAUGUCUUUGGAUUUGUACAAAAAGUAUAACUGCAUUUAGAAUAUAACUAAAUAUUUUCCUGCAAUCUAAGGUUUUAAGUUCUGUACGAAAAAUCCCCAUUCAAGUUUAUUUUAUGUUUCGAUGAAUUGAUUGAUAACAUAUUUCUAUACAAAUUAUACCUUUUUUUCUAGAACUCUUUAAAAAUUCUAGAAAAUUUAUAUCGACUGAAAAAAACCACAUAAGAAACAUUGUGUUAACAGAUUAUCACCGCUGGUUUUAUGAUUCUAAUUUAAUGAUUAAUGGCAUUUCGGUGAACUAUACAUUCUAAUAGGAAGAAUUUCAAAUGAAAGUAAUGAAAAUUAUAGACGGAUAGAUAAGAUUAGGAAGCAUGA